rnacentral:lncRNA from 1 species
UGAAUGCUUCUACGUUUUCCGAUUUAACAGGCACUCUCAUUUGCCUCAAUUUGUUGGUGACAAUUUGGAUUUGGAUCUAUGAUAAGCUACGUUGAGGAUGUCAUAAAAUAUUUGUACAAGCCCAUUCGGCCCCAGCCCAAAUACAAACACUAACCCAACCCAAAAAAAUUAGACCCUAAAUCCCACUUAGCCUCACCUAGAACCCUCUGGCCGUCUGCCACCUCCUGCCUGCUGCAGCCACCGCCCUCGUCACUGUGCCACCGCCCAAAAUUGUACCUGCAAGCAUUAAACGAGACAAGACAGAACAAGAAGCAAGUUGUAAACGCCUAUAAAAGGCUGAAUCCAUUACCUUUUGUACAUUCGGACAUUUUUCAAAUACAAAAAAAGAACAUAGAUUCAAGCAAAAAAAAAGCAUUAUUAGCCUUCAAGAAAUAAAAAAAAGCAUCCAAACAGACCAAAAGCCCUCAAGAACAGAAGCCGUAGUCCUAAGGUGGUUAGUUUUAUUUUUUUCUUUCUUUUUCGUUGAUAUUUCAUGGCCAAUCGAUCUAUUUUAUACCCAUAUAUGUGUGAAUAGGCAAUAUAUACAAAAGAAAAGUGAAUACAUUUUAAAACACACAAAAAAAGAGAGAAAUUUUUUUAUACCUGCGGCGAUUUCCGGCCACCGUACGGAGACACGGCGGAGCGAUGGCCGGAGUCCUCGCCGGCAUAUGGACCUGCAGAGAAAAUAAAAAGCUCAGUUUUCUUUUUUUUUCUUAACAGA